rnacentral:rRNA from 1 species
GAUGAACGCUGGCGGCGUGCUUAACACAUGCAAGUCGAACGGAAAGGCCCAAGCUUGCUUGGGUACUCGAGUGGCGAACGGGUGAGUAACACGUGGGUGAUCUGCCCUGCACUUCGGGAUAAGCCUGGGAAACUGGGUCUAAUACCGGAUAGGACCACAUUUUGGAUGGUGUGGUGGAAAGUUUUUCGGUGUGGGAUGAGCUCGCGGCCUAUCAGCUUGUUGGUGGGGUAAUGGCCUACCAAGGCGUCGACGGGUAGCCGGCCUGAGAGGGUGUACGGCCACAUUGGGACUGAGCUACGGCCCAGACUCCUACGGGAGGCAGCAGUGGGGAAUAUUGCACAAUGGGCGCAAGCCUGAUGCAGCGACGCCGCGUGGGGGAUGACGGCCUUCGGGUUGUAAACUCCUUUCGCUAGGGACGAAGCGUUUUUGUGACGGUACCUGGAGAAGAAGCACCGGCUAACUACGUG